rnacentral:rRNA from 1 species
UGCAUAUCAAAAGCGGAGGAAAAGAAACCAACAGGGAUUGCCCUAGUAACGGCGAGUGAAGCGGCAACAGCUCAAAUUUGAAAUCUGGCUCUUUUAGAGUCCGAGUUGUAAUUUGCAGAGGGCGCUUUGGCUUUGGCAGCGGUCCAAGUUCCUUGGAACAGGACGUCACAGAGGGUGAGAAUCCCGUACGUGGUCGCUAGCUAUUGCCGUGUAAAGCCCCUUCGACGAGUCGAGUUGUUUGGGAAUGCAGCUCUAAAUGGGAGGUAAAUUUCUUCUAAAGCUAAAUAUUGGCCAGAGACCGAUAGCGCACAAGUAGAGUGAUCGAAAGAUGAAAAGCACUUUGGAAAGAGAGUCAAACAGCACGUGAAAUUGUUGAAAGGGAAGCGCUUGCAGCCAGACUUGCUUGCAGUUGCUCAUCCGGGCUUUUGCCCGGUGCACUCUUCUGCAGGCAGGCCAGCAUCAGUUUGGGCGGUGGGAUAAAGGUCUCUGUCACGUUCCUUCCUUCGGGUUGGCCAUAUAGGGGAGAUGUCAUACCACCAGCCUGGACUGAGGUCCGCGCAUCUGCUAGGAUGCUGGCGUAAUGGCUGUAAGCGGCCCGUCUUGAACCACGGACCA